rnacentral:rRNA from 1 species
UACAGAGACUGCGAGCGUUAUUCGGAUUCACUGGGCGUAAAGGGUGCGCAGGCGGCCGUGUGUGUGAGGCGUGAAAGCCCGGGGCUUAACCCCGGAAUUGCACCUCAAACUACACGGCUAGAGCAUUGGAGAGGGUAGCGGAAUUCACGGUGUAGCAGUGAAAUGCGUAGAUAUUGGGAAGAACACCGGUGGCGAAGGCGGCGACCUGGUCCGAUACUGACGCUGAGGCGCGAAAGCGUGGGGAGCAAACAGG